CCUACGGGCGGCUGCAGUGAGGAAUAUUGGUCAAUGGACGAGAGUCUGAACCAGCCAAGUAGCGUGAAGGAUGACUGCCCUAUGGGUUGUAAACUUCUUUUAUAUGGGGAUAAAAUGUUCCACGUGUGGGGUGUUGUAUGUAUCAUAUGAAUAAGGAUCGGCUAACUCCGUGCCAGCAGCCGCGGUAAUACGGAGGAUCCGAGCGUUAUCCGGAUUUAUUGGGUUUAAAGGGUGCGUAGGUGGAUUGUUAAGUCAGUUGUGAAAGUUUGCGGCUCAACCGUAAAAUUGCCGUUGAUACUGGCAGUCUUGAGUAUAAUAGCGGUAGGCGGAAUGUGUGGUGUAGCGGUGAAAUGCUUAGAUAUCAUACAGAACUCCGAUUGCGAAGGCAGCUCACCGAACUGCAACUGACACUGAGGCACGAAAGUGUGGGUAUCAAACAGGAUUAGAUACCCUUGUAGUC
rnacentral:rRNA from 1 species